AGCUUUGCGCAGUGGCAGUAUCGUAGCCAAUGAGGUUUAUCCGAGGCGCGAUUAUUGCCAAUUGAAAAAUAGCAUUGGUGUAUAUUUGAGAAUAUAAAUAAGUUUAUCAUUUAAUUUAAUUUGCAUGAAUAAACAAUAUU